UACGAAGGGUGCAAACGUUGCUCGGAAUUAUUGGGGCGUAAAGCGCACGUAGGCGGCUUUGCAAGUCGGAUGUGAAAUCCCUCGGCUUAACCAAGGAAGUGCAUCCGAAACUGCAGAGCUUGAGUACUUAAGAGGAUCGCGGAAUUCCCGGUGUAGAGGUGAAAUUCGUAGAUAUCGGGAGGAACACCAGUGGCGAAGGCGGCGACCUGGGCCAAUACUGACGCUGAGGUGCGAAAGCGUGGGGAGCAAACAGG
rnacentral:rRNA from 1 species